rnacentral:lncRNA from 1 species
AUAAAUCAAAAUAUACAUAAAAAUAUCUCACAUAAAUAAAUAAAUAAAUACUUGAAAGCUCGAGGCCAUAUGUAUACAACGCUAGCUAGCACGCGGCUUUAAGAGUUGAGAGCUGCGAGGGAGUUGGGCCUGAUUAAAAAUAAUAUUUUCCAGAACUCAAGCUAGAAGAUGAACUAUAUAUAUGCACUUGUCUUACUGUAAAAAAGACAAAAAAG